rnacentral:rRNA from 1 species
GACAGAGGGUGCAAACGUUGUUCGGAAUUACUGGGCGUAAAGCGCGUGUAGGCGGCUAAGUAAGUCGGGCGUGAAAUCCCACGGCUCAACCGUGGAAGUGCACUCGAAACUGCAUAGCUAGAGUCCUGGAGAGGAAGGUGGAAUGCUUGGUGUAGAGGUGAAAUUCGUAGAUAUCAAGCGGAACACCGGUGGCGAAGGCGGCCUUCUGGACAGUGACUGACGCUGAGACGGCGAAAGCCGUGGGGAGCAAACA